rnacentral:ncRNA from 2 species
CAUGCAGAUAGAGGCGCGUUAAUCAUCAGUAAUGAUUUAGAGCAGUAGGUGCUUUGAUAAAUCAUGAAAGGAAUUAAUGCCGAAGCUACUUUUGUCCCUACAACAAAAGAGCUGGGUCGUUACUCAACAAGUAACGGACUGUCGCACGUUGGUGCGUUGAGCUAUUGAUCAU